UGGCACUGCCCUUCGUCGACCCCCUCCUCGCCGUAUGGCUGCCUCGCCGCCCAGCAGCCACCACCACUGUCCACCUGGCCGUCAACCUCAUCCAGUACUACAGAGCGAAGGUGAGGAUGCUUGCCUGAAUCCCCAAAAUGUCAAAACUGAAAAUUUUAGUACUGUACUCACAUGUGAAUCACUCCAUUUUGGGCAUUUUUUGUGGAAUUUUGAAACAUUUACUCCAUUUUGGGACGCACGCAGGUGAGAUUCAGUGUACUCUACGAACUGCUUCAAAAUGUAGGGCAUUUUGGGACACACACAGGUGUGCAUUUUUGUGGAAUUUUCAGUUUGUAAAAUUGGAGUAUUGAAGAAGUGUAUUUUCCAUUUUGAAACUGAAAAUAAACCGUAUGUUCUGCAUUCUGUAUGUUGAUUAUCAAUUCUGUUUCCACUAAAUUUUGAUCAGUGACUAUAGCAUAAUAUCCAGUUUCCACUUUGUAAAUUCAGUUAACACAUUUGCUCUUUGUAAAUUCAGGUAACACAUUUAACACUUGGUAAAUUCAGUUAACUCAAGGCUAAAGACAAUCUACCAAGGCUAAAGCAUAUACUGACAUGAAACGACAAUAAUGGAGCCAUGGAGCAGCGGCAACUCAAGGUGAUGGAUCAUCUCUCUUGCCUUGUGCAGCUUGCUCUGUUUCAAAGCAUCUAAAUUUUCCAUUAGUUGAUAGCAGCACGAGUCAUGAGUCUCAUACGAUUUUCAUCAUCCUAAUAAGAGCAUCUAUCAACUGCUUGUUUGUGCCCAAGUGUUGCCAUUUUCUUCAGAUUCUUCUUCAAUUGCUUGCUUGUGCGCAACUGUCAGCAAUUCUAUUUUUUACGGUUAUCUUGUCGCCACCCAUGCAGGUCCUUUGAAAAUCAGAUCGUCCUAUUUGCAAUAUCAUGGGCUUUCACAAAGACAAGUAUAACAAGGAUUCCAAUGAGAAAUAGCGCCUAAAGAACAAGGUAUGUGUGAUAAAAUCAUCGUGCUUGGUGCAUUUGUCGUCCCAUCACUACGAAGCUGAAUUGAAAUUCUUAGAACAAAGCCCACGUUUGUAAAUGUGGCAGCUCAUAGCUGUCAAUGGUGGAGCUUUAAUUAUUUUUGUUACCUUGCAGCCCAGGAUUAUACUGUUGUCCUCUGCUAUUUAUCAAACUUCAUUGCCAUGCUGUAGUAUAUAGUCAUGCUCACUCACUCUUCUCUCUCUACCAUGUAAUGGCACUGGCACUGAAAUUAUUCAAUCUCUGUAUAAAAGGACUCACCAGUAUAUACUGAUAGCUAAUUAGCCAGGACCUUGAGAUGGACUAAUCCAGUGCUACUCCUCUCAUUAUCUAAUCUAUCCAUGCUAUGACUGCAUAUUUAUUUACUGUACCAAACAUGUCCACUGCAUAUCUGUUUUUGUUAUGCCAAUAAUUUUAGUAAAUUAGAAUAUACAGUAGUACUCCUUGUGACUAUUCUUGAGAUGGUCUUUCUUAUUUUAGCUGAUCCAUCCCAUGUGAUAUGACUAGAUUCUUGUCAUCCACUGUCCUUUUAUUUGUUCCAUGCUAAAUGGACCUCUCAUUAGUUGUUUAGUUGUCAAGCAAAAAUUUCAGUCCACUAACCCAAAUUAAUUCAAAUAACUAAAAUUAAUCCAAAUCAAUUCAAAUAAUUCAAAUAAUUCCAGAUAACCCAAAUUAAUUCAAAUAACCCAGAUAAUUCCAAUAAAUUUCAACAAGGAGUUGAUAUACAAGGAUUAGACAAGGCAUACACAAGGGCAUGACAUAAGGGCAUCUUUGUCCCCUCUUGACACAAGAUUACACAAGACAUACACAAGGAGCACCUGACUACAUGACAUAAGGGCCUCUUUGUCCCCUCUUGACUACAUUCUUUCUCUGGCCACUUCUUCCCUUCCCUUCCCUUUACUUUUCUUUCUUUUCCCUUCUCUAGCUAAUUCUGUCCUUUCAUUUUAUUUUCCUAUUGCAAUUUCCAUUUCUUCUAUAAUGGCCCUAGUAUCAACAACCACCCGACUGUCGCAAUAUACAUUGGUUAUUUCCAGUCCAGCAUUCUGAAAGCGAUCCUUGUGCAAGUGGGGCAACUUAUAUUGAUUUCCUCCUUUGUCUUUCAUAACUUCAAACAUAACUGCUUCUAAUGUGAUAAAGCUUUUGUGCAACUUGUCGGGAUCGUAGUUCUUGAAUUCCUCUUCCACACCCUGUACCAGUUCCUGGAUGUUUGUAGGUGACCUGCAGUCGGUUAGAGAAUGGAGAUAGUUAUGGAAGCAGAGGUCCAAACAAUUUAACUCAGGGCUAUUUGGGGGCUGUUAUAGCAAUCGGAUGUCAAGAUCAGUUUGUUCCACAGCUUCUCGAAAAGCUACAUCAUUGGGAAGGACAUGAGGCUUUGCGUUAUCCUGUUGGAUGAAUAUUGUUGCUCCCUCAUCAUCGUCAGGCCACUUAUCCUGAAUUGCCGGGAUAACCUUAUUGAUUAGAUAAUCUCUGCACACAGGCCUGGUUACUUUCACUGAUGUCAACACUUUUGUUCCCUUUGUUCUGUUCUGACUUGUCCGCUUCGCCUCAGUCUCUUCGACGAAUGCCCAAAUGCCGAUCUUCCCAUCGAAUGUUAGCUCCCCUCAUUGUUAUAUCGAGGCCUGGCAACAGCUGUUAGGAACAUUACUUUCCCAAUGCUGUGAGUGUUUGACACGGUGCGCUUCGGUUCAGGUUCUCCUGGAAGUACAUAGUAACUAUUCUUCACUCUCGUCAUGUCAAACCACUUUUCAUCGAUGUGAACCAUAUUCGUCAUUGGUUUGAACAUAGCCCGAGAAGUUGAGAUCGAAUUGUCAUCGACCAUGGACAUACAAAAUUUCAAUCUCGCAAGCUUGUUCUCUAGAUUGAGGUGAGGCUUCACGGUGCUUGUGAUGCGGUUGAGCUCAUUCAACUGGAACCUCUUAUGUAGGGUCGAUCGGGCCACACCUAGAGACCGUGCCAGAGAUCAAAUCGUCCUUCUUUUAUUCAGUGGGAUUGUUGAGGUCCUCUCUAGAUCCAGCUCCUUUCUCUUUCGGCCAGAUCUUCCUGGCUUCUUGCUUGAGACAUCUACUUAUUUGCCAUCGGCAAUUUGCUUUUUGGCGUCUUCCCAGAUUCUUUCAACAGAUCGUACACUUAUGUCCAACAGGUUUGAGACUAGCAGCUUGUCGUCUGGUUGAACAGACCCAUCUCUGAGCUCGAUUACUAGCAAGGCGAAGUAAACACCAUGCCUCUCCUUAUCUGACAAUUCUCUUCUCUUCUCUUGAAGUAUCCAAUUCAUAACUUCAUCCUCUUCCUCUUGAGCUUCAUCCUCUUUCCCUUCAUCUUCUUGAGGCAUCCAAUUCAUAGCUUCAUCGUCUUCCUCUUGAGGCAUCAAGUUCAAAUCAAUAGUUUCAUGUUCUUCCUUUUGAGGCAUCAAGUUCAAAUCCAUAGUUAUGUUUCCUGCCAUCAAUGACAAAAGAUGAGUACACCAUGGUACCAUAACAAGAAUAUACACACACAAAUGAGUAUGCAAGUCAAACAAGAAAUGCCGCCAUGGUACCAUUUCUACAAAUAGCUGCCAUGGCACCAUUUAUAGAAAGGCUCAUUAGCUUACAAGAGCCUCUAGGUUACUAGUAGAAGGAGGAGUACUACUGUCAACACUUUUGCCACUGAAUUUUCAGAUUAUGAUCAUGGCACUAUCAAGUUCAAAUGCAUUUUAACUGAAUUUUCUGUGCAUUUUAAUACUGCAUUUUAUCCACAUUAACAAAAAGUACUACUCCUUUUCUCCAGUGCAAUGUUCCGUGCAAAGAUCGCAUCAUGAGAACAAACAUGGCACUUGUUGCUGAGCCUGGACCAGCAGGACAAGCAUGCUACAUGGCCAUUUUGGCACUGGAAAAUACACAAAACAAGCUGUGAUCAUGCAAUGGUUAUCUAAAACUUUGCCUCUUAUAACAAAAGGUAGUCUUCUCAAAAGAAGCUACUCUGCCUUUGUAGCUUAAUUCGUUCCUUAAAUAUAAGCCAAAAAAUUAUAUGGAUCGCAUGGUUUUCAGAUUUCUGGAGUUGACUGUAUAUGUUAAAAAAAAGUAAACUGUAUCUAUGUCAGUAUGUGUUUAGAACCAGCCAUGGAAUGGUUUUUGCUCAGGAUUUCUAUCAUAUGCCCUUGGGUGCAGUAUAGUCUGCCAAGCUUAAGAAGAAGUGAAAAGUAAGCGUGCUUAUAAGCUGUGGUGUUCCACCUAAGCCGAUACAGCUUACGAGGUUUGUCUCUUUGUUAGUAACUUAUCAACUGAAACAUGUAAUGACCUUCAGAACAAACCCAGGUACCUAUACUGGAGGAAAAGACACAGCUCGGCGAGGAGAGAAUUCAGAGAGAAACAAUAGACCGUGAGACAUAAAACUAUAUACUCCAGAAAUGAAACAGUGUGAUCUUUGUUCCUUACUCGCUCGAUAGUUCUAGAACCUGACAGAUAGAAACUGUUGUUUCAGAAGGAAAUGAAACAGAAACAACUAACCAAAGGGAAAUCAGAGUGCCUUGAAUCCCAAAAUUAGUUUUCCUUCCAUAUGCAGAGAUUUGUGUCUGGGUGUGGCCAAGACAAAUUAGGAUCACGACGCUGUGUGGGUGUCAGAUCAGUUCAACUGAUUCGGUUGACAGGAAUAAUGGGGACAUUGACUCAAGAAUGCAUUUUAAAAACUGCUUUGUUGCCUAUCAUCUUCUCUGAUCCCCUCCUGCCAUGGCUAUGGAUUUUCUCAAUUAGCUCCAAUGGUGGUGUCUUUAAGACAUGGAAGUGUGCAAUUUUUCUGUAUGUGGUCUCAUAUUUUUGCUCAUGCGUGCUUUUUUCAGUUAUUUUUUCCCAUAUUUUGGAAAGAACCAUGCACAAAGGAAACAAACACUUCAUCUGAUGGAGUACCUUCUUCAACUAGCAGUACUCUGAUGGAGUAACUUCUUCAGAGGGCAAAUAGCACCAGCAGCAUCAGUCAUGGCGGCAGUCAACAGCAACAACAACAGCACAGGCAGAGGAGCAGUAGCAUCAACACGGAUCAACAACAGCAGCACAGGCAGAGGAGCAGUAGCAUCAACACGGGAAGAGGAGCAGCAGCAGUACCACGGGCUAGCUCCAAUGGCGGCAGGGGAGAAACAGAGGAGAAACAAGAUGCAGCAACACGGGCUAGCACCACUGGCGGG
rnacentral:lncRNA from 1 species